rnacentral:rRNA from 1 species
GAUGAACGCUAGCGGCAGGCCUAACACAUGCAAGUCGAGGGGCAUCGCGGUGCAGCAAUGCACUGGCGGCGACCGGCGUACGGGUGCGUAACGCGUAUGCAACCUGCCCCGCACCGGGGGAUAGCCCGCCGAAAGGCGGAUUAAUACCCCAUGGUCCCGGGGGCCCGCAUGGGCAUCCGGGUAAAGCCUUGGCGGUGCGGGAUGGGCAUGCGUGCCAUUAGCUGGCUGGUGGGGUAACGGCCCACCAGGGCAACGAUGGCUAGGGGGUCUGAGAGGAUGGUCCCCCACACUGGUACUGAGACACGGACCAGACUCCUACGGGAGGCAGCAGUGAGGAAUAUUGGUCAAUGGGCGGAAGCCUGAACCAGCCAUGCCGCGUGCGGGAUGAAGGCCCUACGGGUUGUAAACCGCUUUUCCCCGGGAAGAAUAACCCCGAUGAGUCGGGGGAUGCCGGUACCGGGGGAAUAAGGAUCGGCUAACUCCGUG